rnacentral:rRNA from 1 species
UGGGUCUGCGUUUCAUUAGCUUGUUGGCGGGGUAACGGCCCACCAAGGCUACGAUGAAUAGCCGGCCUGAGAGGGUGAUCGGCCACACUGGGACUGAGAUACGGCCCAGACUCCUACGGGAGGCAGCAGUAGGGAAUAUUGCGCAAUGGACGCAAGUCUGACGCAGCAACGCCGCGUGGGUGAUGAAGCAUCUUGGUGUGUAAAACCCUGUCAGUGGGGAUGAAACGUACGGGUAGUAACUGAUUCGUACCUGACGGUACCCACAGAGGAAGUUCCGGCUAACUCCGUGCCAGCAGCCGCGGUAAUACGGGGGGAACAAGCGUUGUUCGGAUUUACUGGGCGUAAAGGGCGCGUAGGCGGGCCUUCAAGUCGGUUGUGAAAACUUCGAGCUUAACUCGGAGCCUGCAUUCGAUACUGUUGGUCUUGAGUACAGGAGAGGAAAGUGGAAUUCCAGGUGUAGCGGUGAAAUGCGUAGAUAUCUGGAAGAACACCAGUAGCGAAGGCGGCUUCCUGGCCCGAUACUGACACUGAGGCACGAAAGCUAGGGGAGCAAACAGGAUUAGAUACCCUGG